UCUCAAUCAGUUCUCACCUUUCUGUUCCUAUAGUCAAUGUAUCUGUCAUAUAGCUGUCGUUUCUUUUUCUCAUAUGACUUGAAGUUACCACUCUUCAUUUCUGUUUGAACUUUUUCCUGCAAUGUUUGAAUUGCAGAGCUAGAUUGUGAACCAAGUUUAAGACCUCGGUAAUUCGCAAAUUAUUCAAAUUUCACAGUGCAAUGGACCUUUCACCUUUUGACUAAAAUUUAGAUGUCAACAAGUCUAGACAAAAAU